AUCACAGCACGGGCUUGGUGCAGCAUGAUGAUGGCCCUAUCGCAUUUGCCUCUCGAGCCAUGAAUGAUACGCUCAGAUCGAGAGAGAGCUACUCAUGAUGGCUAUUGUGUUUGGCUGUAAACGGGUUACGGUUCCACCAAUUUGUUUAUGGCAAGACAAUCACCGUGGAAACCAAUCAUAAACCGCUGGAGCCAAGCAGACUUCAGAAGAUGCUCAUGCAAAUCCAAGAGUAUGAUAUCUAUCUCGUGUGUGAAAAGGCUGCAAAAUGUACCUCACUGAUGCGCUUUCGAGCGCAUUUCCCCCCGAAAUCGUUCACGAACAGUUCGAAGCAGACAUAUAGACUCGAAAGGUUUCGUUCAUUCAAUGUCUACCGAGUCCUAUAUUACAGAUAAAGAAAUUACAAGCCAUUCGCUCGGAAGUAUCUGCUGACCACACGAUGAAAUUACUCUAACAGAAAAUCCAAACCUGCUGGCUAGAGAUCCGCCAGAACACAGAUGUCUCGUUCUGCAAGAUAUUCGUACAUAUGGUUAAGAUCGACACGAAUUGACAAUGCAAGAUGGGCUAAUUUUAGUAGUUUAUAAAGCUCACAACAUAUUAAUUAGAGACACGCUUACCAAGUUGCAUCAUUCGCAUCAAGGUAUAAAGGAAAUGAAACGUCUAGCUCAAGAAAGUAUAUAUUGGCUGGUAUGAACGCUGAAAUUGAUAACGUGGUGUUCAGCUGUGAGACAUGUCAAACUAACAGCAACGCUAAUACACGCGAGAGACAACAAUCUCAUCCCGUUCCCAGUCGACCAUGGCAACAAAUUGGAACAGAUUUGUUUCAGUGAAAAGGUAGACCUUAUCUGAUUACCGUGGAUUACUACAGCCGUUAUCCCGAAUAAGCUGAACUCAGAGACAUCAAAGCUCAAACAAUUAUCGCGAAAACUAAAUGUAUCUUCAGUCGUUAUGGUAUUGCAGACAACGUUAUGUAUAGGUUAUAACCUAUAGGCUAUACUUAUUUUUCACAUUGCGAGGUCGCGUUAAUGAUCUCG